rnacentral:rRNA from 1 species
ACGGGGACCCGCACAAGCAGCGGAGCGUGUGGUUUAAUCGUUGCUACACGAAGAACCUUACCUGGGUUUGACAUAUAGGUUGUAGGGAACUGAAAAGGGACCGACCCUUCGGGGAGCCUAUACAGGUGUUGCAUGGCUGUCGUCAGCUCGUGUCGUGAGAUGUUCGGUUAAGUCCGCUAACGAGCGCAACCCUCGUCGUAUGUUAUAUGUGUCAUACGAGACUGCCGGUAAAAGCCGGAGGAAGGUGAGGAUGAUGUCAAGUCAGCAUGACCUUUAUAUCCAGGGCUACACACACGCUACAAUGGUCUGUACAAUGGGUAGCCAAGCCGCGAGGCGGAGCCAAUCCUGAAAGCAGGCCUCAGUUCAGAUUGCAGUCUGCAACUCGACUGCAUGAAGCCGGAGUUGCUAGUAACCGCAGGUCAGCAAUACUGCGGUGAAUACGUUCCCGGGUCUU